rnacentral:rRNA from 1 species
GAUGAACGCUGGCGGCGUGCCUAAUACAUGCAAGUCGAGCGAACAGAUGAGGAGCUUGCUCCUCUGACGUUAGCGGCGGACGGGUGAGUCACACGUGGAUAACCUACCUAUAAGACUGGGAUAACUUCGGGAAACCGGAGCUAAUACCGUAUAAUAUAUUGAACCGCAUGGUUCAAUAGUAAAAGACGGUUUUGCUGUCUCUUAUAGAUGGAUCCGCGCCGCAUUAGCUAGUUGGUAAGGUCACGGCUUACCAAGGCAACGAUGCGUAGCCGACCUGAGAGGGUGAUCGGCCACACUAGAACUGAGACACGGUCCAGACUACUACGGGAGGCAGCAGUAGGGAAUCUUCCGCAAUGGGCGAAAGCCUGACGGAGCAACGCCGCGUGAGUGAUGAAGGUCUUCGGAUCGUAAAACUCUGUUAUUAGGGAAGAACAAAUGUGUAAGUAACUAUGCACGUCUUGACGGUACCUAAUCAGAAAGCCACGGCUAACUACGUG